rnacentral:tRNA from 1 species
GUGCCUAUGGUGUAGCGGCAGCACAAAGCUCUGUGGCAGCUUUGGCACCGGUUCGAAUCCGGUUAGGCACC